GGGCCUAUUGUCGAAUGGUUAAGACGUCACCCUUACACGGUGAAGACUCCCGGUCCGAUUCCGGGUGGGCCCAC
rnacentral:tRNA from 1 species